rnacentral:rRNA from 1 species
GAUGAACGCUAGCGGCGGGCUUAAUACAUGCAAGUCGAGGGGUAGCAAUACACCGGCGCACGGGUGCGUAACGCGUAUGCAAUCUACCUUUAUCUGGGGGAUAGCCCGGGGAAACCCGGAUUAAUACCGCAUAACAAAUUUCUUGGCAUCAAGAGAUUUUAAAAGAUUUAUCGGAUAGAGAUGAGCAUGCGUAAGAUUAGAUAGUUGGCGAGGUAACGGCUCACCAAGUCUACGAUCUUUAGGGGCUCUGAGAGGAGAAUCCCCCACACUGGCACUGAGAUACGGGCCAGACUCCUACAGGAGGCAGCAGUAGGGAAUAUUGGGCAAUGGGCGCAAGCCUGACCCAGCCACGCCGCGUGCAGGAAGAAGGCCCUCUGGGUUGUAAACUGCUUUUGACCGGGAAGAAAAGAAUCUUUGCGAAGAUAGUUGACGGUACCGGCAGAAUAAGCCACGGCUAACUACGUGCCAGCCGCCGCAGUAAAAC